AGUGAACGCUGGCGGUAGGCCUAACACAUGCAAGUCGAACGGCAGCACAGUAAGAGCUUGCUCUUACGGGUGGCGAGUGGCGGACGGGUGAGGAAUACAUCGGAAUCUACUUUUUCGUGGGGGAUAACGUAGGGAAACUUACGCUAAUACCGCAUACGACCUACGGGUGAAAGCAGGGGAUCUUCGGACCUUGCGCGAUUGAAUGAGCCGAUGUCGGAUUAGCUAGUUGGCGGGGUAAAGGCCCACCAAGGCGACGAUCCGUAGCUGGUCUGAGAGGAUGAUCAGCCACAAUGGAACAGAGAGACGGUCCAACCUCCUACGGAAGGCAGCAGUGGGGAAUAUUGGACAAUGGGCGCAAGCCUGAUCCAACAAUACCGCGUGGGUGAAGAAGGCCUUCGGGUUGUAAAGCCCUUUUGUUGGGAAAGAAAAGCAGCAGGUUAAUACCCCGCUGUUCUGACGGUACCCAAAGAAUAAGCACCGGCUAACUUCGUG
rnacentral:rRNA from 1 species